AGUGAACGCUGGCGGCAGGCCUAACACAUGCAAGUCGAGCGGCAGCGCGGGGGCAACCCUGGCGGCGAGCGGCGGACGGGUGAGGAAUGCAUCGGAAUCUACCUCGUUGUGGGGGAUAACCUCGGGAAACCGGGACUAAUACCGCAUACGACCUACGGGUGAAAGUGGGGGACCUUCGGGCCUCACGCGAUGAGAUGAGCCGAUGCCGGAUUAGCUAGUUGGCGGGUAAAGGCCCACAAGGCGACGAUCCGUAGCUGGUCUGAGAGGAUGAUCAGCCACACUGGAACUGAGACACGGUCCAGACUCCUACGGGAGGCAGCAGUGGGGAAUAUUGGACAAUGGGGGCAACCCUGAUCCAGCCAUGCCGCGUGUGUGAAGAAGGCCUUCGGGUUGUAAACCUUUCGUGCGGAAGAAUAGUCCUGUAGCGAAUAACUACGGGAUUUGACGGUACCGCAGGAAGAAGCACCGGCUAACUCCCGUGCCAGCAGCCGCGGUAAAAGUGU
rnacentral:rRNA from 1 species